rnacentral:rRNA from 1 species
GCGACGCUUAUGCGUUGUUGGGUAGGGGAGCGUUCUGUAAGCCUGUGAAGGUGUGCUGUGAGGUAUGCUGGAGGUAUCAGAAGUGCGAAUGCUGACAUAAGUAACGAUAAAGCGGGUGAAAAGCCCGCUCGCCGGAAGACCAAGGGUUCCUGUCCAACGUUAAUCGGGGCAGGGUGAGUCGACCCCUAAGGCGAGGCCGAAAGGCGUAGUCGAUGGGAAACAGGUUAAUAUUCCUGUACUUGGUGUUACUGCGAAGGGGGGACGGAGAAGGCUAUGUUGGCCGGGCGACGGUUGUCCCGGUUUAAGCGUGUAGGCUGGUUUUCCAGGCAAAUCCGGAAAAUCAAGGCCGAGGCGUGAUGACGAGGCACUACGGUGCUGAAGCAACAAAUGCCCUGCUUCCAGGAAAAGCCUCUAAGCAUCAGGUAACAUCAAAUCGUACCCCAAACCGACACAGGUGGUCAGGUAGAGAAUACCAAGGCGCUUGAGAGAACUCGGGUGAAGGAACUAGGCAAAAUGGUGCCGUAACUUCGGGAGAAGGCACGCUGAUACGUAGGUGAAGCGACUUGCUCGUGGAGCUGAAAUCAGUCGAAGAUACCAGCUGGCUGCAACUGUUUAUUAAAAACACAGCACUGUGCAAACACGAAAGUGGACGUAUACGGUGUGACGCCUGCCCGGUGCCGGAAGGUUAAUUGAUGGGGUUAGCGCAAGCGAAGCUCUUGAUCGAAGCCCCGGUAAACGGCGGCCGUAACUAUAACGGUCCUAAGGUAGCGAAAUUCCUUGUCGGGUAAGUUCCGACCUGCACGAAUGGCGUAAUGAUGGCCAGGCUGUCUCCACCCGAGACUCAGUGAAAUUGAACUCGCUGUGAAGAUGCAGUGUACCCGCGGCAAGACGGAAAGACCCCGUGAACCUUUACUAUAGCUUGACACUGAACAUUGAGCCUUGAUGUGUAGGAUAGGUGGGAGGCUUUGAAGUGUGGACGCCAGUCUGCAUGGAGCCGACCUUGAAAUACCACCCUUUAAUGUUUGAUGUUCUAACGUGGACCCGUGAUCCGGGUUGCGGACAGUGUCUGGUGGGUAGUUUGACUGGGGCGGUCUCCUCCUAAAGAGUAACGGAGGAGCACGAAGGUUGGCUAAUCCUGGUCGGACAUCAGGAGGUUAGUGCAAUGGCAUAAGCCAGCUUGACUGCGAGCGUGACGGCGCGAGCAGGUGCGAAAGCAGGUCAUAGUGAUCCGGUGGUUCUGAAUGGAAGGGCCAUCGCUCAACGGAUAAAAGGUACUCCGGGGAUAACAGGCUGAUACCGCCCAAGAGUUCAUAUCGACGGCGGUGUUUGGCACCUCGAUGUCGGCUCAUCACAUCCUGGGGCUGAAGUAGGUCCCAAGGGUAUGGCUGUUCGCCAUUUAAAGUGGUACGCGAGCUGGGUUUAGAACGUCGUGAGACAGUUCGGUCCCUAUCUGCCGUGGGCGCUGGAGAACUGAGGGGGGCUGCUCCUAGUACGAGAGGACCGGAGUGGACGCAUCACUGGUGUUCGGGUUGUCAUGCCAAUGGCACUGCCCGGUAGCUAAAUGCGGAAGAGAUAAGUGCUGAAAGCAUCUAAGCACGAAACUUGCCCCGAGAUGAGUUCUCCCUGACCCUUUAAGGGUCCUGAAGGAACGUUGAAGACGACGACGUUGAUAGGCCGGGUGUGUAAGCGCAGCGAUGCGUUGAGCUAACCGGUACUAAUGAACCGUGAGGCUUAACCUUACAACGCCGAAG